rnacentral:rRNA from 1 species
AAUGAACGCUGGCGGCAGGCUAACACUGCAAGUUCCAAACGGUAACAGGAUGUGCUUGCACAUCGCUGACGAGUGGCGGACGGGUGAGUAAUGCUUAGGGAUCUGCCUCUGUGUGGGGGAUAACUAUUGGAAACGAUAGCUAAUACCGCAUAAUGUUUACGGACCAAAGUGGGGCGUUUGCUCCCGCGCAGAGAGGAACCUAAGUGAGAUUAGCUAGUUGGUAAGGUAAUGGCUUACCAAGGCGACGAUCUCUAGCUGUUCUGAGAGGAAGAUCAGCCACACUGGGACUGAGACACGGCCCAGACUCCUACGGGAGGCAGCAGUGGGGAAUAUUGCACAAUGGGGGGAACCCUGAUGCAGCCAUGCCGCGUGUGUGAAGAAGGCCUUCGGGUUGUAAAGCACUUUCAGUUGUGAGGAAAGGUUAGUAGUUAAUACCUGCUAGCUGUGACGUUAGCAACAGAAGAAGCACCGGCUAACUCCGUGCCAGCAGCCGCGGUAAUACGCGAGGGUGCGAGCGUUAAUCGGAAUUACUGGGCGUAAAGCGCACGCAGGCGCGUUUGUACAGCUAGAUGUGAAAAGCCCCGAGCUCAACUUGGCGAUGGUCAUUUCAGAACUGGCAGAC